AACGAACGCUGGCGGCGUGGAUAAGACAUGCAAGUCGAACGGGGCAAUGUUUGUAGUAAUAUGAAUGUUGUUCAGUGGCGAACGGGUGCGUAACACGUGGAUACAUUCCGGGAAGCGGGGGAUAGCCCAGGGAAACUUGGAUUAAUACCGCAUGUGGUCGAAAGACUAAAGACGGGGAUCGAAAGACCUGUCACUUCCCGAUUGGUCCGCGGCCUAUCAGCUAGUUGGCGGGGUAAAAGCCCACCAAGGCGACGACGGGUAGCUGGUCUUAGAGGACGACCAGCCACACUGGAACUGAGACACGGUCCAGACACCUACGGGUGGCAGCAGUCGAGAAUCUUUCACAAUGGGGGCAACCCUGAUGGAGCGACGCCGCGUGGAGGAUAAGGUCUUCGGAUUGUAAACUCCUGUCAUGCGCGAACAAGGCUACUUGGAUAAUACCUGGGUAGAUUGAAUG
rnacentral:rRNA from 1 species